GUGCUCACUUUGGCAGCACAUAUACUAAAAAUUGGAACGAUACAGAGAAGAUUGGCAUGGCCCCUGCGCAAGGAUGACACGCAAAUUUGUGAAGCGUUCCAUAUUUUU
ensembl:snRNA U6 U6 spliceosomal RNA